rnacentral:rRNA from 1 species
GACGGAGGGUGCUAGCGUUGUUCGGAAUCACUGGGCGUAAAGGGCGCGUAGGCGGCGAUGGCAGUCGGGUGUGAAAGCCCGGAGCUCAACUCCGGAAUGGCACUCGAGACGCCAUGGCUGGAGGCCGGAAGAGGAGGGUGGAAUACCCAGUGUAGAGGUGAAAUUCGUAGAUAUUGGGUGGAACACCGGUGGCGAAAGCGGCUCUCUGGUCCGGACCUGACGCUGAGGCGCGAAAGCGUGGGGAGCAAACAGG